CUUGAUGUCCGAACACUCGCAAUCUUUAACCAGGGUUGAGGAAAGUCCGGGCUCCAUAGGGCAGGGUGCUUGUUAACGGCAAGGCGGAGUGAUCCGACGGAAAGUGCAACAGAAAACAAACCGCCAGCAAAUCCUCGUGAGAUGCUGGUAAGGGUGAAACAGUGAGGUAAGAGCUCACUCGUGAUCUCGGGUAACCGGGAGCGUGGUAAACCCCAUCCGGAGCAAGAUCGAACAGGUGAGUAGACGCGGCCCGCAGAUCACCGGGUAGAUCGCUUGAGGCUUUUAGUGAUAGAAGUCCUAGAUAGAUGAGUGUUGCGAAGAUCUGAGAGGGUCUUCAGACAGAACCCGGCUUACAGGGCAUCAGGCAAU
rnacentral:RNase_P_RNA from 1 species